UACAGAGGGUGCGAGCGUUAAUCGGAAUUACUGGGCGUAAAGCGUGCGUAGACGGUUAUUUAAGUCGGGUGUGAAAGCCCCGGGCUCAACCUGGGAACUGCGAUGGAAACUGGCGGGCUUGAGUGUGGCAGAGGGGGGUGGAAUUCCGCGUGUAGCAGUGAAAUGCGUAGAGGUGCGGAGGAACACCGAUGGCGAAGGCAGCCCCCUGGGCCAACACUGACGCUCAGGCACGAAAGCGUGGGGAGCAAACAGG
rnacentral:rRNA from 1 species